AGACAGAGGUGGCAAGCGUUGUUCGGAAUUACUGGGCGUAAAGGGCGCGUAGGCGGUUCGUUAAGUCCUGUGUGAAAUCCCCCGGCUCAACUGGGGAACUGCACAGGAAACUAGCGGGCUUGAGUUCGGGAGAGGGAAGCGGAAUUCCGGGUGUAGCGGUGAAAUGCGUAGAUAUCGGGAGGAACACCAGUGGCGAAGCGGCGAUCUGGGAAGAUACUGACGCUGAGGUGCGAAAGCGUGGGAGCAACAGG
rnacentral:rRNA from 1 species